UAUGAGUACACCACUUUUAUUUUCUAAAAUGUCAAGUCAAACGAGGCAUUUGAGAUUGAGAUUGAACAUGGAACAUCUGAUUGACAGACGACAUGGAUUCUGAAGGGUAUAAUCGUUGAUUGAUGUAUGUAUAAUUUUAAAUAAAAAACACUUUUACUAUCCGACAGUAUAGAAACCUAUAAAAUUGUUUUAGCAUGGAAGGAGUUCGUACUGUUUUGUAUAGAGGGCAGCAGUAGAUAUGCUUAGUCGCAAUUUUUUAUCCACACAUAUUUUAUUUUAUCUCAUUUUAACCAUUUUAUUUAUAUUAUUAUAUUAAAUUAAGUACAUUUUAAUUUUAAAUAAACACCACUUUUGCUGUGAAAUAACUAAAAACAAACAAUAAAAUGUUUUAGAAUGGAUAGGUA